rnacentral:sRNA from 1 species
GCGAGACCCACAAAUAAAGGGGAGCGCAGGGGUUGCGGCGGGACUAGGAGCGCGGCGGGGCCGGCGGCAGAGCUGUCCGGCUGCGCGGUGGCCCGGGGGGCCCGGGCGGCAGGGCAAGCAGCGCGGCCUCGGCCUAUGCGACCGGUGGCGCCGGCGCGGCUUCCGCCUGGAGAGGAUUCAAGAUGACCAACGAAGAACCUCUUCCUAAGAAGGUAUGGGUUUUGGUUUUGGGUUUCUUUGUUUUGUUUUGGGUUUUUUGGGGGUUUUUUUAAGCACUUUUAAAAAAAAUAGACUUGAAGGGAUUAUCGUUGUUUGCUUAUUUUUCAUUUAUUUGCCUUUAUAACAAUAAUAGCAUUGGAGUUGUACAGUGUGCCAGAUAUUGUAUCUUAUAUCCAGUAUAUUUUUUAGAAUAUUUUCAGAUUUUGGAAAACUUUAGUUAUAAUAAUAUUCCCAUGGUCUACUCUUAAUGUUCAUUAUGUAAAUAUUUCCAGGUACAUAUAUACAAAUAAUGUCAAAAAUGGACAUUAUGAGUAUAUUAUUAUUCUUUUCCUAGUGUAAAUCCCUUUGAUUGUAAUUAAAAACUACUUUAUUAAAAAAA